rnacentral:rRNA from 1 species
AAGUCGAACGGAGGUAUAGUGAAGCUUGCUUCAGUAUACCUUAGUGGCGGACGGGUGAGUAAUGCAUGAGCAACCUGCCUUAAAGAGGGGGAUAACACAGAGAAAUUUGUGCUAAUACCGCGUAAUCUGUUUUGGAGGCAUCUACGGAACAGUAAAGGAGCAAUCCGCUUUAAGAUGGGCUCAUGUCUGAUUAGAUAGUUGGUAGGGUAACGGCCUACCAAGUCUGCGAUCAGUAGCCGGACUGAGAGGUUGAACGGCCACAUUGGAACUGAGAAACGGUCCAGACUCCUACGGGAGGCAGCAGUGGGGAAUAUUGGGCAAUGGGCGAAAGCCUGACCCAGCAACGCCGCGUGAAGGGAGAAGGUCUUCGGAUUGUAAACUUUUUUGGCAGGGGACGAAGCAAUGACGGUACCCUGAGAACAAGCCACGGCUAACUACGUGCCAGCAGCCGCGGUAAUACGUAGGUGGCAAGCGUUAUCCGGAUUUACUGGGUGUAAAGGGUGAGUAGGCGGNGAGACAAGUCAGAUGUGAAAUGCAAAGGCUCAACCUUUGAACUGCAUUUGAAACUGUUUUUCUUGAGA